rnacentral:rRNA from 1 species
GUGAGACAGGUGCUGCAUGGCUGUCGUCAGCUCGUGUUGUGAAAUGUUGGGUUAAGUCCCGCAACGAGCGCAACCCUUAUCCUUUGUUGCCAGCGGUCGGCCGGGAACUCAAAGGAGACUGCCAGUGAUAAACUGGAGGAAGGUGGGGAUGACGUCAAGUCAUCAUGGCCCUUACGACCAGGGCUACACACGUGCUACAAUGGCGCAUACAAAGAGAAGCGACCUCGCGAGAGCAAGCGGACCUCAUAAAGUGCGUCGUAGUCCGGAUUGGAGUCUGCAACUCGACUCCAUGAAGUCGGAAUCGCUAGUAAUCGUGGAUCAGAAUGCCACGGUGAAUACGUUCCCGGGCCUUGUACACACCGCCCGUCACACCAUGGGAGUGGGUUGCAAAAGAAGUAGGUAGCUUAACCUUCGGGAGGGCGCUUACCACUUUGUGAUUCAUGACUGGGGUGAAGUCGUAACAAGGUAACCGUAGGGGAACCUGCGGUUGGAUCACCUCCUUACCUUAAAGAAGC